rnacentral:rRNA from 1 species
UUAAGUGACUAAGCGUACACGGUGGAUGCCUAGGCAGUCAGAGGCGAUGAAGGGCGUGUUAAUCUGCGAUAAGCGUCGGUAAGGUGAUAUAAACCGUUAUAACCGGCGAUACCCGAAUGGGGAAACCCAGUGCAAUUUGUUGCACUAUCAUACGAUGAAUACAUAGUCGUAUGAGGCGAACCGGGGGAACUGAAACAUCUAAGUACCCCGAGGAAAAGAAAUCAACCGAGAUUCCCCCAGUAGCGGCGAGCGAACGGGGAGGAGCCCAGAACCUGAAUCAGUUCUUGUGUUAGUGGAAGCGUCUGGAAAGUCGCACAGUAAAGGGUGAUAGUCCCGUACACUAAAAUGCAUUAACUGUGAGUUCGAUGAGUAGGGCGGGACACGUGACAUCCUGUCUGAAUAUGGGGGGACCAUCCUCCAAGGCUAAAUACUCCUGACUGACCGAUAGUGAACCAGUACCGUGAGGGAAAGGCGAAAAGAACCCCGGCGAGGGGAGUGAAAUAGAACCUGAAACCGUGUACGUACAAGCAGUGGGAGCCUACUUUGUUGGGUGACUGCGUACCUUUUGUAUAAUGGGUCAGCGACUUAUAUUUUGUAGCAAGGUUAACCGUAUAGGGGAGCCGUAGGGAAACCGAGUCUUAACUGGGCGAAUAGUUGCAAGGUAUAGACCCGAAACCCGGUGAUCUAGCCAUGGGCAGGUUGAAGGUUGGGUAACACUAACUGGAGGACCGAACCGACUAAUGUUGAAAAAUUAGCGGAUGACUUGUGGCUGGGGGUGAAAGGCCAAUCAAACCGGGAGAUAGCUGGUUCUCCCCGAAAGCUAUUUAGGUAGCGCCUCGUGAACUCAUCUUCGGGGGUAGAGCACUGUUUCGGCUAGGGGGCCAUCCCGGCUUACCAAACCGAUGCAAACUCCGAAUACCGAAGAAUGUUAUCACGGGAGACACACGGCGGGUGCUAACGUCCGUCGUGAAGAGGGAAACAACCCAGACCGCCAGCUAAGGUCCCAAAGUCAUGGUUAAGUGGGAAACGAUGUGGGAAGGCAUAGACAGCCAGGAUGUUGGCUUAGAAGCAGCCAUCAUUUAAAGAAAGCGUAAUAGCUCACUGGUCGAGUCGGCCUGCGCGGAAGAUGUAACGGGGCUAAACCAUGCACCGAAGCUGCGGCAGCGACGCUUAGGCGUUGUUGGGUAGGGGAGCGUUCUGUAAGCCGUUGAAGGUGACCUGUGAGGGUUGCUGGAGGUAUCAGAAGUGCGAAUGCUGACAUAAGUAACGAUAAAGCGGGUGAAAAACCCGCUCGCCGGAAGACCAAGGGUUCCUGUCCAACGUUAAUCGGGGCAGGGUGAGUCGACCCCUAAGGCGAGGCCGAAAGGCGUAGUCGAUGGGAAACAGGUUAAUAUUCCUGUACUCGGUGUUACUGCGAAGGGGGGACGGAGAAGGCUAGGCUAGCCGGGCGACGGUUGUCCCGGUUUAAGCGUGUAGGGGGAGUGACCUGGUAAAUCCGGUUACUUAUCUAACCCUGAGGCGUGAUGACGAUGCACUACGGUGCAGAAGUAGUUGAUGCCAAGCUUCCAGGAAAAGCCUCUAAGCAUCAGGUAACACAGAAUCGUACCCCAAACCGACACAGGUGGUCAGGUAGAGAAUACCAAGGCGCUUGAGAGAACUCGGGUGAAGGAACUAGGCAAAAUGGUGCCGUAACUUCGGGAGAAGGCACGCUGGCGCGUAGGUGAAGAGACUUGCUCUCGGAGCCGAAGCCAGUCGCAGAUACCAGCUGGCUGCAACUGUUUAAUAAAAACACAGCACUGUGCAAACACGAAAGUGGACGUAUACGGUGUGACGCCUGCCCGGUGCUGGAAGGUUAAUUGAUGGGGUCAGCCGCAAGGCGAAGCUCUUGAUCGAAGCCCCAGUAAACGGCGGCCGUAACUAUAACGGUCCUAAGGUAGCGAAAUUCCUUGUCGGGUAAGUUCCGACCUGCACGAAUGGCGUAAUGAUGGCCAGGCUGUCUCCACCCGAGACUCAGUGAAAUUGAACUCGCUGUGAAGAUGCAGUGUACCCGCGGCAAGACGGAAAGACCCCGUGAACCUUUACUAUAGCUUGACACUGAACAUUGAGCCUUGAUGUGUAGGAUAGGUGGGAGGCUUUGAAGCGUGGACGCCAGUCUGCGUGGAGCCAACCUUGAAAUACCACCCUUUAAUGUUUGAUGUUCUAACUCGGCCCGUAAU